rnacentral:rRNA from 1 species
GACGAACCGUGCGAACGUUAUUCGGAAUCACUGGGCUUAAAGGGCGCGUAGGCGGGUUGCCAAGUCUGUGGUGAAAUCCUCCAGCUUAACUGGAGAACGGCCGUGGAUACUGGCGACCUCGAGGGGGGUAGGGGCUUGCGGAACUGUGCGUGGAGCGGUGAAAUGCGUUGAUAUGCACAGGAACUCCGGUGGCGAAGGCGGCGAGCUGGACCCUUUCAGACGCUGAGGCGCGAAAGCCAGGGGAGCGAACGGG